CUGAUAGUCGGACAUGAUGGCUACGCCUUCAACCCGAAGAAAAGGAAAAAAACAUGAAUCUGCUGUGUUAGGCGUAGAGGUACAAGCCUGUGAUCCUAGCGCGCAACUGGCAGAGGCAGAAGCUUGAGUUCGUUGCAAGAAUGGGGCUGGAAGUGUUGUUCGUGUAUUUAAUCUCAGCACUGGGGAGGCAGAGGCAAGCCUGGUCUACAUAGUUGAGUUCCAGCCUAUCUCAAAGACAAAAAAAGGGGUGGAGGGGCUGGAGAGAUGGCUUGGUGGUUAAGAGCACUGACUGCUCUUCCAGGGGAUCCAGGAUUGAUUCCUAGCACCUAUGUGGCAGCUCACAACCCUCUGUAACUCCAGCCCUAGCCCUCAUCUAGUCUCUGCUGGGACUAGGUAUGGCCAUGGUGCACUUAAACAAUCACACAAUAUAAAAAUAAGAUGGGUGUGGUGGCACAUGACUUCAAUCCCUGAACCUGGGAAGCAAAGGCAGAUAGAUCUCUGAGUUUGAGUCCAGCCUGGUCUACAUAGUGGAUUACUGGCUAUAAGUGAGUCCCUCUCUCAAAAAAGUAUUAAAAAAGAAACUUCUGGCUGGGCAGUGGUGGCGC
rnacentral:lncRNA from 1 species